rnacentral:rRNA from 1 species
UACGUAGGCAGCAAGCGUUGUUUGGAGUUACUGGGCGUAAAGAGUGCGUAGGUGGUGCCCUAAGUCUGUUGUGAAAUCUCCCGGCUUAACUGGGAGGGUGCGGUGGAAACUGGGGUGCUUGAGUGUGGGAGAGGUAAGCGGAAUUCCUGGUGUAGCGGUGAAAUGCGUAGAUAUCAGGAGGAACACCGGUGGUGUAGACGGCUUACUGGACCACGACUGACACUGAGGCACGAAAGCGUGGGUAGCAAACAGG